rnacentral:miRNA from 1 species
CUCUCCAGUCUCUCUCCAACAAUAAUAAUAACCAUUAGAUAUAUCUAAUGGCUCAAAUUCAAUCUUAUAAAAUCAUUUAAGAAAUUACAUUAAUUAAUAAGAUUGAAUUUGAGCUAUUAGAUAUAUCUAAUGAUUAUUAUUAUUGUUGGAGAGAGGCUAGAGAGA